UCCCUUACCUCCACAAAUAUGGAUACUCCUCACAGUCACCCAAAUUUUGCCAACCAGAACACACAGCUGUGGACACUGGAAAUGUAGCAGUUUUUUGGGUUUUUUUUCCUCCUUAAAUAUAAAAGGAAGUAUAAAGGAAGGGGAGGAGCUGGGAGGCUUAAUUGCUGUCUUUCAGAAGUGCAGAAAAGACUGAGGGGACUCAUUUAUAGAGAGACAAUGAUUUAAUUUUGCUGCAGUUUAUGAGAAGAGUGUGGAGACAACUCUGUAAAAGAAAAUAAAAACAUGACUGCUCUGAGACUGCUUGGCUAGGAAUUACUUUGGGCUGCUGCUGGGAGCAAGGAAAAGGUUUCCAGGGGAGGAGAAAUGGUGAUAUUAAGCCACAGGGUCUUAUGAAGAGGGGAAACAGAAUGCAGUGAAGCAAAAAGUAUGCUGUUCUCCUCAGGCUGUGAUGUGCUAGUAUUCUGCUAAGUCACUGACUUCGUAAAUCCAAGAGCUAGAAAUUGGGCUGAAUCUUCAUGGAGACUUUGGAAACAGACAUUUCUUCCAUAGAAGAGUUGCGUUUGGUGAGGAGGGAAUUCCCAACCGGACCCAGAGGAGCCUUCUGUGACUUGUUAUUCCAGCCCUUCCUCUCAUUGGAAAACGUCAGGAAGAAGCAGGGCAGUCACAUUCAUCUACUUUCACUACUUGGCAAAUUCAGAAAUCAAUGGAUAUAUCAAUUCUAGAAAAUUCUUGAAAAUCUUGAAAAAACCUUGAAAUCCUGAAAAUCUGGUUCCUCUGGCAAGGAUGAAGGCGAUAUCAGAUACAUGUGGGACAGAGACAUCUUUGCAGCGCGUAGGUCAGUGCCAUUAUUGCUUCUCUUUGGAUUACGCACAGGUCUGCAAAACACUGGGUACGAGAGUUUCCCUCCUGUUCAUCCUAUAUAUUUACCUCUGUGGCUCACUUAAGCACAAAAAAGAGAAGAAUAAAAC
rnacentral:lncRNA from 1 species